AGGGUUCGAUUAUGGCUCAGGAUGAACGCUGGCGGCGUGCUUAACACAUGCAAGUCGAACGAACCUUCGGGUUAGUGGCGGACGGGUGAGUAACGCGUGAGAAUCUGCCCUCAGGAGGGGGAUAACGGUUGGAAACGACCGCUAAUACCCCAUAUGCCUAUUGGUGAAAUGAAUUUCGCCUGAGGAUGAGCUCGCGUCUGAUUAGCUAGUUGGUGAGGUAAUGGCUCACCAAGGCUUCGAUCAGUAGCCGGUCUGAGAGGAUGAUCAGCCACACUGGGACUGAGACACGGCCCAGACUCCUACGGGAGGCAGCAGUGGGGAAUUUUCCGCAAUGGGCGAAAGCCUGACGGAGCAACGCCGCGUGAGGGACGAAGGCCUCUGGGCUGUAAACCUCUUUUCUCAAGGAAGAAGAUAUGACGGUACUUGAGGAAUAAGCCACGGCUAAUUCCGUGCCAGCAGCCGCG
rnacentral:rRNA from 1 species